rnacentral:rRNA from 1 species
AUUGAACGCUGGCGGCAGGCCUAACACAUGCAAGUCGAGCGGAUGAAGGGAGCUUGCUCCUGGAUUCAGCGGCGGACGGGUGAGUGAUGCCUAGGAAUCAGCCUGGUAGUGGGGGAUAACGUCCGGAAACGGGCGCUAAUACCGCAUACGUCCUGAGGGAGAAAGUGGGGGAUCUUCGGACCUCACGCUAUCAGGUGAGCCUAGGUCGGAUUAGCUAGUUGGUGGGGUAAAGGCCUACCAAGGCGACGAUCCGUAACUGGUCUGAGAGGAUGAUCAGUCACACUGGAACUGAGACACGGUCCAGACUCCUACGGGAGGCAGCAGUGGGGAAUAUUGGACAAUGGGCGAAAGCCUGAUCCAGCCAUGCCGCGUGUGUGAAGAAGGUCUUCGGAUUGUAAAGCACUUUAAGUUGGGAGGAAGGGCAGUAAGUUAAUACCUUGCUGUUUUGACGUUACCAACAGAAUAAGCACCGGCUAACUUCGUG